CCUACGGGAGGCAGCAGUGAGGAAUAUUGGUCAAUGGACGCAAGUCUGAACCAGCCAUGCCGCGUGCAGGAAGACGGCUCUAUGAGUUGUAAACUGCUUUUGUACGAGGGGAAACGCAGAUACGCGUAGCUGUCUGAAAGUAGCGUACGAAUAAGGAUCGGCUAACUCCGUGCCAGCAGCCGCGGUAAUACGGAGGAUUCAAGCGUUAUCCGGAUUUAUUGGGUUUAAAGGGUGCGUAGGCGGUCGGAUAAGUUAGAGGUGAAAUCCCGAGGCUCAACUUCGGAAUUGCCUCUGAUACUGUUCGGCUCGCGCGUAGUUGCGGUAGGCGGAAUGUAUGGUGUAGCGGU
rnacentral:rRNA from 1 species